rnacentral:rRNA from 1 species
ACGGCAGCACGGAGCUUGCUCUGGUGGCGAGUGGCGAACGGGUGAGUAAUAUAUCGGAACGUACCCUAGAGUGGGGGAUAACGUAGCGAAAGUUACGCUAAUACCGCAUACGAUCUAAGGAUGAAAGUGGGGGAUCGCAAGACCUCAUGCUCGUGGAGCGGCCGAUAUCUGAUUAGCUAGUUGGUAGGGUAAAAGCCUACCAAGGCAUCGAUCAGUAGCUGGUCUGAGAGGACGACCAGCCACACUGGAACUGAGACACGGUCCAGACUCCUACGGGAGGCAGCAGUGGGGAAUUUUGGACAAUGGGCGAAAGCCUGAUCCAGCAAUGCCGCGUGAGUGAAGAAGGCCUUCGGGUUGUAAAGCUCUUUUGUCAGGGAAGAAACGGUGAGAGCUAAUAUCUCUUGCUAAUGACGGUACCUGAAGAAUAAGCACCGGCUAACUACGUGCCAGCAGCCGCGGUAAUACGUAGGGUGCAAGCGUUAAUCGGAAUUACUGGGCGUAAAGCGUGCGCAGGCGGUUUUGUAAGUCUGAUGUGAAAUCCCCGGGCUCAACCUGGGAAUUGCAUUGGAGACUGCAAGGCUAGAAUCUGGCAGAGGGGGGUAGAAUUCCACGUGUAGCAGUGAAAUGCGUAGAUAUGUGGAGGAACACCGAUGGCGAAGGCAGCCCCCUGGGUCAAGAUUGACGCUCAUGCACGAAAGCGUGGGGAGCAAACAGGAUUAGAUACCCUGGUAGUCCACGCCCUAAACGAUGUCUACUAGUUGUCGGGUCUUAAUUGACUUGGUAACGCAGCUAACGCGUGAAGUAGACCGCCUGGGGAGUACGGUCGCAAGAUUAAAACUCAAAGGAAUUGACGGGGACCCGCACAAGCGGUGGAUGAUGUGGAUUAAUUCGAUGCAACGCGAAAACCUUACCUACCCUUGACAUGGCUGGAAUCCUCGAGAGAUUGAGGAGUGCUCGAAAGAGAACCAGUACA